rnacentral:rRNA from 1 species
GACGAACGCUGGCGGCGUGCUUAACACAUGCAAGUCGAACGGAGUGGCGAACGGGUGCGUAAGACGGGGGUGCUCUGCCUUGCACUUCGGGUUAGGCUUGGGAAACUGGUUCUAAUACCGGAUAGUGUAGGAUGGGCGCGGGGCCUAUCGGCUUGUUGGUGGGGUAAUUGCCUACCAAGGGGUCGACGGGUAGCCGGCCUGCGAGGGUGUACGGCGCCAUGGGGACUGAGAUACGGCCCAGAAGCGAACGGGAGGCAGCAGUGGGGAAUAUUGCACAAUGGGGGGAAGCCUGAUGCAGCGACGCUGGGGGGGUGAUGCACGCCUUUGGGUUGUAAACUCCUUUCGACGGGAACGCGGUACCUGUAUAAGAAGCACCGGCUAACUACGUGCCAGCAGCCGCGGUAAUAC